GACGAACGCUGGCGGCAUGCUUAACACAUGCAAGUCGAACGGAAAGGCCCUGCUUUUGUGGGGUGCUCGAGUGGCGAACGGGUGAGUAACACGUGAGUAACCUGCCCUUGACUUUGGGAUAACUUCAGGAAACUGGGGCUAAUACCGGAUAGGAGCUCCUGCUGCAUGGUGGGGGUUGGAAAGCUUCGGCGGUUGGGGAUGGACUCGCGGCUUAUCAGCUUGUUGGUGGGGUAGUGGCUUACCAAGGCUUUGACGGGUAGCCGGCCUGAGAGGGUGACCGGCCACAUUGGGACUGAGAUACGGCCCAGACUCCUACGGGAGGCAGCAGUGGGGAAUAUUGCACAAUGGGCGGAAGCCUGAUGCAGCAACGCCGCGUGCGGGAUGACGGCCUUCGGGUUGUAAACCGCUUUCGCCUGUGACGAAGCGUGAGUGACGGUAAUGGGUAAAGAAGCACCGGCUAACUACGUGCCAGCAGCCGCGGUGAUACGUAGGGUGCGAGCGUUGUCCGGAUUUAUUGGGCGUAAAGGGCUCGUAGGUGGUUGAUCGCGUCGGAAGUGUAAUCUUGGGGCUUAACCCUGAGCGUGCUUUCGAUACGGGUUGACUUGAGGAAGGUAGGGGAGAAUGGAAUUCCUGGUGGAGCGGUGGAAUGCGCAGAUAUCAGGAGGAACACCAGUGGCGAAGGCGGUUCUCUGGGCCUUUCCUGACGCUGAGGAGCGAAAGCGUGGGGAGCGAACAGGCUUAGAUACCCUGGUAGUCCACGCUGUAAACGGUGGGUACUAGGUGUGGGGUCCAUUCCACGGGUUCCGUGCCGUAGCUAACGCUUUAAGUACCCCGCCUGGGGAGUACGGCCGCAAGGCUAAAACUCAAAGGAAUUGACGGGGCCCCGCACAAGCGGCGGAGCAUGCGGAUUAAUUCGAUGCAACGCGUAGAACCUUACCUGGGUUUGACAUGGAUCGGGAGUGCUCAGAGAUGGGUGUGCCUCUUUUGGGGUCGGUUCACAGGUGGUGCAUGGCUGUCGUCAGCUCGUGUCGUGAGAUGUUGGGUUAAGUCCCGCAACGAGCGCAACCCUUGUUCACUGUUGCCAGCACGUUAUGGUGGGGACUCAGUGGAGACCGCCGGGGUCAACUCGGAGGAAGGUGGGGAUGACGUCAAGUCAUCAUGCCCCUUAUGUCCAGGGCUUCACGCAUGCUACAAUGGCUGGUACAGAGAGUGGCGAGCCUGUGAGGGUGAGCGAAUCUCGGAAAGCCGGUCUCAGUUCGGAUUGGGGUCUGCAACUCGACCUCAUGAAGUCGGAGUCGCUAGUAAUCGCAGAUCAGCAACGCUGCGGUGAAUACGUUCCCGGG
rnacentral:rRNA from 1 species